rnacentral:ncRNA from 1 species
AGAACUAAUAAUAUUUAGAAUCGAAUGAUAGAGUAAUAUCUUGAAAGAUUCUCCCUAAUACUCCGACAUGCAUAUAUAUAGCAAGAUAUAUUUGUAUGAAGCUCGGUGAAGACGGCUAAGAUUUCUCCCUAACAGUUAUGCUGAGGAAAUGUGAAUCAGAAAUGAUCAAGAGAUUUAUAGGUCGGGGGUUUAUAA